AUGGGAACGCGAAGAACCUUACCUACUCUUGACAUCCAGAGAACUUUCCAGAGAUGGAUUGGUGCCUUCGGGAACUCUGAGACAGGUGCUGCAUGGCUGUCGUCAGCUCGUGUUGUGAAUGUUGGGUUAAGUCCGCAACGAGCGCAACCCUUAUCCUUUGUUGCCAGCGGUUCGGCCGGGAACUCAAAGGAGACUGCCAGUGAUAAACUGGAGGAAGGUGGGGAUGACGUCAAGUCAUCAUGGCCCUUACGAGUAGGGCUACACACGUGCUACAAUGGCGCAUACAAAGAGAAGCGACCUCGCGAGAGCAAGCGGACCUCAUAAAGUGCGUCGUAGUCCGGAUUGGAGUCUGCAACUCGACUCCAUGAAGUCGGAAUCGCUAGUAAUCGUAGAUCAGAAUGCUACGGUGAAUACGUUCCCGGGUCUUGUACACACCGAGUCGUGGGA
rnacentral:rRNA from 1 species